AUAUUUCAAUUUACUCAAAUAAUUAAAAAUAAUAAAUAUUUAUUAUAGAUGAUAUAGAAUGGUCAUCUUGACAACCGUUUUGUAUUAUAUUAAUUAAUUUUUAUUUUUAAUUAGGAGGAAAUUAUAUACUUACAGACACAGUAAUAAUUUACCCAUGUUUACAAAAAAAAAAAAAUACCGAAAUUUCCGUCAAAUUUUUUUUUUACCCAAAAUACUAAAAGGGAAAAUUGAAGCGCUCAUCACUUUCACUUUCAUCAAAAAGUGAAACCUCUUUCUCAUUCAUCAGUAAAAAAAAAAGUGAAACCUUCAUCAAACCUCCAUAGCAAAUCCUUCAUCAGCCGCUUAUUGCACUGCCGCUCCACGUCUGCAGUACCGCACCAGUUUGCUAAGCCACCAAUAAAUUGAGCAGGAUAGCAAUUAUCAAUUAUCAUUGCUGUGAAGUCAACUGAUAAACAGUCAACAACCGUGGUUCUUUCCUUGACUAUGUCUGUAGACAAAUCUCAGACAAUUAAACAAAAGAACAAUAUAAAUGGAGGAAGGGGUGAUAGAAGAAGUUCUAAAGUUCCACUGAGGGCAAAAUUUGAUCCAUUUUCGUUGAAAGUUGGCUUGACAAACUUCAGUCUCACAAGUGGAGGAAGCAAUGUUUUUGAUAUGAAACCGGUAUCUCUAUUGUGAGAUUGCUAAAAAAAUUUCUGAGGCAUGCACUGACAGAAACUAUUAUGCACAUGGCUGUUAUGUGUAUUAUGAACAGCCUUUUUGGAUAGUAUCUGUUCUUAUAACUUAGAUUAAAAAAAGGAUAUGCUUAUUUAUAUUUAAUUAGAUGAAUUUAUUGUACAUUAUUAACUAAUAUGUAUGUAUUUUACAUUGUUUUGUAGUAUUUUAAGCAAUUUCCUCCUACAUAUUCUCAACAAAUGAUCGAUGAGCUUAGGGAAAGGUGGAUUUUAUAGUUACCGGAUACCAUCAACCAAAUGACGACAACCACGACGAUUUAUGUGAAUUGUAGAUCAAUAUGGUAUUGGUAUAUCUAAGCAUAAUUUAUUUUUUUCAAUCAACAUUAACUAGAAAGGUGUUUUGAUAUUUAACUCACGUAUUUGUUUGUAUAGUACAAAUUUUGUAUGAAUGAUUCAAUUUAAUUAUGGUUCGAUGUUUUAAAUUAUAUAUAUGAAGUAUAUUUUGAUGGCUUUCGUCAUA